ACCUGACUGUUGUAUAAUCAGCAGACACUAGCCAAGACAGGAGACAAUACAUG
rnacentral:sRNA from 12 species